rnacentral:rRNA from 1 species
AAGUACGAGUCGCGCUUCGACGCGACGAAACUGCGAAAGGCUCAUUAAAUCAGUCGUGGUCUACGUGGUCGUGCGGCGACGAGAGUCGUCAGAGGUGGAUAACCGUGGAAAAGCUAGAGCUAAUACAUGCAAGCGAGCGCCGACUUCGGGAGGCGUGCAUUUAUCAGACCGCGCGUCGGCCGAGCGCCGCGUCGAUGUUCGGGCCGCGAGGCCCGGCGUUAUCGGACGGCGCUCGUCGAUGGUGGUGACUCUGGAUAACUUAUCGUGCUGAUCGCCGGUCCCAUUGUAGAGACCGGGCGACGAACCACUCGAGCGUCUGACCUAUCAACUGUUGUCGGUAAGGUCUCGGCCUACCGAGGUGCUCACGGGUGACGGGGAAUCAGGGUUCGAUUCCGGAGAGGGAGCCCGAGAAACGGCUGCCACUUCCAAGGAAGGCAGCAGGCGCGCAAAUUACCCAUUUCAGACUCUGAGAGGUAGUGACGAGAAAUACCGAUGCCGGGCCUCGACGGGCGCCGACAAUCGAAAUGAGCGCAGCUCAAAACACUGAUGUCGUUCCUCGCUUUCAAGGCCCUUCGCGGGGCCGCGAGAGCAGGUGUCGUGCGAGUAUCGAUCGGAGGGCAAGUCUGGUGCCAGCAGCCGCGGUAAUUCCAGCUCCGAAAGCGUAUGCUUAUGUUGUUGCGGUUGAAAAGCUCGUAGUUGGAAAUAAGCUUUUCGCCGGAAGCGCGCCGGCCUUCGCGGGCCGAGCGUCGCGACCGAAACGAAAGAUGGUGUGCUCGGCGGGCGUGCUUCGAAAGGGGCGCGUUCGUUCGGGUCCUUUGUAGCGGACGGCCGGCGUGGCUCCCAUCCCGAUGGAAGUUGCAC